rnacentral:rRNA from 1 species
UACGUAGGGGGCUAGCGUUGUCCGGAAUCAUUGGGCGUAAAGAGCGUGUAGGCGGCUCGGUAAGUCCGCUGUGAAAGUCGGGGGCUCAACCCUCGGAUGCCGGUGGAUACUGUCGGGCUAGUGACGGAAGAGGCGAGUGGAAUUCCUGGUGUAGCGGUGAAAUGCGCAGAUAUCAGGAGGAACACCAUUAUCGCAAGGCAGCUCGCUGGGACGUUACUGACGCUGAGACGAGACGUGGGGAGCAACAGG